ensembl:misc_RNA
UUGAUACACAGGAGUGAAAUCCUCUGUUUAACCAUGGUACAGGUACAGCAUCAACAGAGACAAUACAGGAUUUUCCACAUGGCAGUGCCAAUGUGCCUCAACCUUGUUCUGGAGGCGGCAUUCAAGGAUAGUGCAGCCUCCAUACGAUUCAGUCUUUGGAUUGU